AACGAACGCUGGCGGCAGGCCUAACACAUGCAAGUCGAGCGCGCCUUUCGGGGUGAGCGGCGGACGGGUUAGUAACGCGUGGGAAUAUGCCCUUUGGUACGGAAUAGCCUCUGGAAACGGAGAGUAAUACCGUAUGAGCCCCCCGGGUCAAACUGGGGGGGAAAGAUUUAUCGCCAAAGGAUUAGCCCGCGUUAGAUUAGGUAGUUGGUGGGGUAAUGGCCUACCAAGCCUACGAUCUAUAGCUGGUUUUAGAGGAUGAUCAGCAACACUGGGACUGAGACACGGCCCAGACUCCUACGGGAGGCAGCAGUGGGGAAUCUUGGACAAUGGGGCAACCCUGAUCCAGCCAUGCCGCGUGAGUGAAGAAGGCCCUAGGGUCGUAAAGCUCUUUCGCCUGUGAAGAUAAUGACGGUAGCAGGUAAAGAAACCCCGGCUAACUCCGUGCC
rnacentral:rRNA from 1 species